AGCUCGUGUCGUGAGAUGUUGGGUUAGUCCGCACGAGCGCAGCCCCUGCAUUCAGUUGCCAUCGGGUAGAGCCGGGCACUCUGGAAGGACUGCCAUCGACAAGAUGGAGGAAGGUGGGGAUGACGUCAAGUCAUCAUGGCCCUUAUGUCCAGGGCGACACACGUGCUACAAUGGCCGGCACAACGGGAAGCGAGUUCGCGAGGACAAGCGGAUCCCUUAAAGCCGGUCGCAGUUCGGAUUGAAGUCUGCAACUCGACUUCAUGAAGCUGGAAUCGCUAGUAAUCGUGGAUCAGCCAAGCCGCGGUGAAUACGUUCCCGGGCCUU
rnacentral:rRNA from 1 species